AGACCUUCCUUCGGGCAAUUUUCAAGGUGCUGCAUGGUUGUCGUCAGCUCGUGCCGUGAGGUGUUAGGUUAAGUCCUGCAACGAGCGCAACCCCUGUCACUAGUUGCCAUCAUUCAGUUGGGGACUCUAGUGAGACUGCCUACGCAAGUAGAGAGGAAGGUGGGGAUGACGUCAAAUCAUCACGGCCCUUACGCCUUGGGCCACACACGUAAUACAAUGGCCGGUACAGAGGGCAGCUACACAGCGAUGUGAUGCAAAUCUCGAAAGCCGGUCUCAGUUCGGAUUGGAGUCUGCAACUCGACUCUAUGAAGCUGGAAUCGCUAGUAAUCGCGCAUCUGCCAUGGCGCGGUGAAUACGUUCCCGGGCCUUGUACACACCGCCCGUCAAGCCAUGGAAGUCUGGGGUACCUGAAGUCGGUGACCGUAAAAGGAGCUGCCUAGGGUAAAACAGGUAACUAGGGCUAAGUCGUAACAAGGUAACC
rnacentral:rRNA from 1 species